rnacentral:misc_RNA from 1 species
GAAGUGAAAUGGAUGGAAUGGUGUGAAGAAGUCAUGGUUGAUGAGAUUAAAACCCUUAGACGCCUCCAAAGGCUUCAGACUACCAGUGCAGACCUUCCAAAGGAAAAGGUGCUUUUGAAGAUUCGGAAUUACCUACAGCUUAUUGGGCGGAGGAUAGAUCAAAUUGUUUUAGAAUAUGAGGAAGAGUUUUAUCGGCAAGACAGGAUGACUACGCGAUUAUGGAAUUAUGUCUCUACUUUUUCAAAUUUAUCAGGGGAGAGACUUCAUCAGAUCUAUUCUAAACUUAAGCAGGAGCAGGAAGAGGAAGCAGGUGUUGGACCCAUCCAUAUGAAUGGUUCUGCAUCUGGUCCAGUGGACAGAGAUGGUGAUGCCAAUUAUUUUCCUCUGACACGCCAUGUUGAGAGGCAAAGAGGGUACAAAAAUGUGAAUUCCUAUCAAAUGUCAGAAUCAAUUGAGAAGGGUCAUGAUAAUGGGAAAUUUGAAGCUUGGAAACGGCGGAGAAGAGCUGAAGCUGAUACUCAUCCCCCACUUCAACCACCCUUUCAAAGACCAAUGAGUAAUGGUAACCGUUUAAGAGAUCCUAAUUCGUUGGGGAUUCUUGGGGCGGCACCAUCUGAUAGUAGGCUAUUUAAUAACGAGAGACCUUUCCGGAUGCGUCAAACUGGUUUUCCUGCAAGACAAAAAUUCUCAUCAGGGAUAAAGUAGUUGAAGCAUUUGAUGGAAGAAGAGCAGCUGAUUGAAAACUGAUUUCUGUGGCUUUCCUCUGUUCGUAUCAUUUCAUCAGCCAUUGUCCAUACUGUGGAAUUCUUUUUCUACAUCA